rnacentral:lncRNA from 1 species
CUCAUUUUUCUACUGCUCGUGGAUUUACGCGCACGUUGGAACCGAAGAGAGCUCUGUUGUUGCAAUGUUCAGCCCACAAGAGCUUACUGGUGAAGGAAUGGGACAAGACCCAUCUUUAUGCAAAGCCAGCGUUACAGUAAUGUUCCAGGUAUUCCUGAUGACAGUCUGCCUCUAUCUUACAGAGCAGCUUGUUGCUAUAUACCAUUGAAAAGCCUUCAGAGCUGAGAGGUACUACUAACCAAUAACCUGCUUGGCUCAAAGGGCCAGCACCUUCUCUCUAAAGCCCAAGAGGAGUUUGAGGAAAACUAGGUGUCUGUGUUCACUCCAGGCUGAAGUUACAGGUCUGAGCAAAUAAGGUGUAUAAAAAAUGGAAUCUGUCUUGGAGGACAUCAGAAGGUGAAUUUUCCAAGUUCUUGGACAACCUAGCUGUUGAAAAGCUUUCUGGGUUUGGGGGGUAUUUCAGAUGUACCUUAAAGUGUUAGCAGACACAGAUUAAGACACUGGGAGCCAAUGAAACAGCAGUUGAGGGUUUGCUGUGUAUCACAUUUCUGUAUUUUAUCACCCCCUUCCUGCAACAUUAUUUAUCUGGAAUCUACCUGCCCUUUUGUUUUUUAGAUACAAGGGCUUGGUUUUGUUACCCAGGCUGGUUUCAAGGCCAUAGCUUUAAGAGAUCCUCUCACCACAGAUUUCCAAAGUGCUGGGAUUGCAGGUGUGAUUCAUGGCACCCAGACUUUGCUGCCUUUCUUACAUGAUCCAGGCCCAGAACCCAAACUCAGGCACUGUAUAGAUGACCACUUUCGUAAACUACUGACCUAGCUUGUUGCCAAUUGUUGAUUGAACUUCCCAUAACUCCACUUCGUGUCUGUUCCUCUGUAUACAGCCACCUUCUGUUCCCGUCAUGAGCCUUUAGGUCUCCAUUUGCAUAUUGCAAAUACUAUGUUCCAUGUAGGUAGCUCAUUCAGGGCCUUGCUCUUCACUUCAAAAAAGGUUCCCUUGAGGACUGGCUGUCAAUUUGUGUUGCUGUGUUGGUUGUUGAUGAAAAUAAUAAAAUGAUUGAUUACAUAGUCCUGUUUA